GUAGGUGGCAAGCGUUGUCCGGAAUUAUUGGGCGUAAAGCGCGCGCAGGCGGUUCUUUAAGUCUGAUGUGAAAGCCCACGGCUCAACCGUGGAGGGUCAUUGGAAACUGGAGAACUUGAGUACAGAAGAGGAAAGCGGAAUUCCACGUGUAGCGGUGAAAUGCGUAGAGAUGUGGAGGAACACCAGUGGCGAAGGCGGCUUUCUGGUCUGUAACUGACGCUGAUGCGCGAAAGCGUGGGGGAGCAAACAGGAUUAGAUACCCUGGUAGUCCACGCCGUAAACGAUGAGUGCUAAGUGUUAGGGGGUUUCCGCCCCUUAGCGCUGCAGCUAACGCAUUAAGCACUCCGCCUGGGAGUACGGCCGCAAGGCUG
rnacentral:rRNA from 1 species